rnacentral:rRNA from 1 species
GACGAACGCUGGCGGCGUGCUUAACACAUGCAAGUCGAGCGAGUGGCGCACGGGUGAGUAAUGUCUGUGAAACUGCCCGUUGGAGGGGGAUAUCUACUGGAAACAGUAGCUCUUACCCCAUACCCUAUGAUGUGCCCAGAUGGGGUUAGCUAGUGGGUGGGGUAACGGCUCACCUAGGCGACGAUACCUAGCUGGUCUGAGAGGAUGAGCAGCCACACUGGAACUGAGACACGGUCCAGACGCCUACGGGAGGCAGCAGUGGGGAAUAUUGAACAAUGGGCGAAAGCCUGAUGCAGCCAUGCCGCGUGUAUGAAGAAGGCCUUCGGGUUGUAAAGUACUUUCAGCGGGGAGGCGUUACUCGCAGAAGAAGCACCGGCUAACUCCGUGCCAGCAGCCGCGGUAAUUC